ensembl:snRNA U6 U6 spliceosomal RNA
GUGCUCGCUUCGGCAGCACAUAUACUGAAAUUGGAAUGAUACAGAGAAGAUUAGCAUGGCCCCUGCACAAGGACGACAUGCAAAUUCGUGAAGCAUUCCAUAUUUUU